rnacentral:rRNA from 3 species
UGGGGAAUAUUGCACAAUGGGGGAAACCCUGAUGCAGCGACGCCGCGUGAACGAAGAAGUACCUCGGUAUGUAAAGUUCUAUCAGCAGGGAAGAAAAUGACGGUACCUGACUAAGAAGCCCCGGCUAACUACGUGCCAGCAGCCGCGGUAAUACGUAGGGGGCAAGCGUUAUCCGGAUUUACUGGGUGUAAAGGGAGCGUAGACGGCAGUGCAAGUCUGAAGUGAAAUGCAUGGGCUCAACUCAUGAACUGCUUUGGAAACUGUACAGCUAGAGUACCGGAGGGGUAAGCGGAAUUCCUGGUGUAGCGGUGAAAUGCGUAGAUAUCAGGAGGAACACCGGUGGCGAAGGCGGCUUACUGGACGGAAACUGACGUUAAGGCUCGAAAGCGUGGGGAGCAAACAGG